rnacentral:rRNA from 1 species
UACGUAGGGACCAAGCGUUGUUCGGAUUUACUGGGCGUAAAGGGCGCGCAGGCGGCUCAUUUUGUCAGGCGUGAAAGCCCCGGGCUUAACCUGGGAACUGCGUUUGAUACGGUUGGGCUAGAGUUCGGGAGAGGAGAGUGGAAUUCCCAGUGUAGAGGUGAAAUUCGUAGAUAUUGGGAAGAACACCGGUGGCGAAGGCGGCUCUCUGGACCGAGACUGACGCUGAGGCGCGAAAGCGUGGGGAGCAAACAGG